GUUCUAUCUGGAGUUAAUAAACUGGAAGACGUGUUCUAUCUGGAGUUAAUAAACUGGAAGACGUGUUCUAUCUGGAGUUAAUAAACUGGAAGACGAACUGUGGAAAUAUCUUCUUCAACUGCUGAUUUUCAUACAUUCUUCCAAAUGAGAAACACAUUAUGCAGUGUUACAAUCAAGCUUUACACUAUGCAGUUACAGCCAAGCUUUACACGAUGCAGUGUUACAGCCAAGCUUUACACUAUGCAGUUACAGCCAAGCUUUACACUAUGCAGUGUUACAAUCAAGCUUUACACUAUGCAGUGUUACAGCUUUACACUAUGCAGUGUUACAGCUUUACACUAUGCAGUGUUACAGCUUUACAUUAUGCAGUGUUACAGCUUUACACUAUGCAGUGUUACAGCUUUACACUAUGCAGUGUUACAGCUUUACACUAUGCAGUGUUACAGCUUUACACUAUGCAGUGUUACAGCCAAGCUUUACAGUAUGCAGUGUUACAGCCAAGCUUUACACUAUGCAGUGUUACAGCCAAGCUUUACAGUAUGCAGUGUUACAGCCAAGCUUUACAUAUCCUUACAUACUGAGUGUUUCCACUUCAUGACCUUUCUCUGGGUACUAUUGAACGAAACCAGACCAGUUCAGACCAAUCCUGACCAGUGUUGGUGUUUGGUACAGGUUGAUAUAGCAGCUAAGAGAAACAUUUAAACAUUUAACAUGCUUUAAUUUGAUCAAUAACAUAUAAGUGUUUUCAUAUGACCUUUCUCUGCCUACUAUUUUCUAAACCAGACCAGACCUCCUGAUACAGCAGCAGGAACAUUCUAACUCCUUGUUUUACAUGACGUCACAACUCCAGUCUGUCUGGGUCCAUUCAACUCUCCAGUCUGUCCGGGUCCAUUCAACUCUCCAGUCUGUCCGGGUCCAUUCAACUCUCUAGUCUGUCUGGGUCCAUUCAACUGAAGGCACAGUUCAUUUGACCUACAGAUACACAGACCAGUUGUAGAACCAUGACUGACACACAGGCACUCUACUUUAACAACACAACCAAACCUCCCUCUUAUAUAACAACAACAGCCAGAUGACGAAAAGAGAACAGAGAUUUUCUCAUCUUAGUCAGUCCCUUUGUUUCAAACACCCUCUCAUCUAAAGAGAACAGAGAGACUGCGGAUAAAGGACCAGAACAGUCUUCUCCUCUCCAGACAGUCAAUGUGUUCCAUCGUAGACCACUGGCUGCUCAACACUCAGACGAUACAACACCUUCUUAGAGAUGAACCUACACCACAGAUGACAGGAUAGAGAGGAGAGAACGGGGUGAGGGGGGAUAGAGAGGAGACAGAAUGGGGUGAGGGGGGAUAGAGAGGAGACAGAAUGGGGUGAGGGGGGAUAGAGAGGAGACAGAACGGGAGUGAGGGGGGAUAGAGAGGAGACAGAAUGGGGUGAGGGGGGAUAGAGAG
ensembl:lncRNA